GGAAGCACAUGGGAUCUGGUGGUCUCUGCGGACUUCAAAUCCGUUGCAGGAUGUUAAACCAUUCUGGGUGAGUUCGAUUCUCACGUGCUUCC
rnacentral:tRNA from 1 species